rnacentral:rRNA from 1 species
UACGAAGGGGGCGAGCGUUGUUCGGAAUCACUGGGCGUAAAGGGCUCGUAGGCGGCCAACUAAGUCAGACGUGAAAUCCCUCGGCUCAACCGGGGAACUGCGUCUGAUACUGGAUGGCUUGAAUUCGGGAGAGGGAUGCGGAAUUCCAGGUGUAGCGGUGAAAUGCGUAGAUAUCGGGAGGAACACCAGUGGCGAAGGCGGCUUCCUGGACCGGUUCUGACACUGAGGAGCGAAAGCGUGGGGAGCGAUCCGG